AGACCCGAAACCCGGUGAUCUAGCCAUGGGCAGGUUGAAGGUUGGGUAACACUAACUGGAGGACCGAACCGACUAAUGUUGAAAAAUUAGCGGAUGACUUGUGGCUGGGGGUGAAAGGCCAAUCAAACCGGGAGAUAGCUGGUUCUCCCCGAAAGCUAUUUAGGUAGCGCCUCGUGAAUUCAUCUCCGGGGGUAGAGCACUGUUUCGGCAAGGGGGUCAUCCCGACUUACCAACCCGAUGCAAACUGCGAAUACCGGAGAAUGUUAUCACGGGAGACACACGGCGGGUGCUAACGUCCGUCGUGAAGAGGGAAACAACCCAGACCGCCAGCUAAGGUCCCAAAGUCAUGGUUAAGUGGGAAACGAUGUGGGAAGGCCCAGACAGCCAGGAUGUUGGCUUAGAAGCAGCCAUCAUUUAAAGAAAGCGUAAUAGCUCACUGGUCGAGUCGGCCUGCGCGGAAGAUGUAACGGGGCUAAACCAUGCACCGAAGCUGCGGCAGCGACACUGUGUGUUGUUGGGUAGGGGAGCGUUCUGUAAGCCUGUGAAGGUGUGCUGUGAGGCAUGCUGGAGGUAUCAGAAGUGCGAAUGCUGACAUAAGUAACGAUAAAGCGGGUGAAAAGCCCGCUCGCCGGAAGACCAAGGGUUCCUGUCCAACGUUAAUCGGGGCAGGGUGAGUCGACCCCUAAGGCGAGGCCGAAAGGCGUAGUCGAUGGGAAACAGGUUAAUAUUCCUGUACUUGGUGUUACUGCGAAGGGGGGACGGAGAAGGCUAUGUUGGCCGGGCGACGGUUGUCCCGGUUUAAGCGUGUAGGCUGGUUUUCCAGGCAAAUCCGGAAAAUCAAGGCUGAGGCGUGAUGACGAGGCACUACGGUGCUGAAGCAACAAAUGCCCUGCUUCCAGGAAAAGCCUCUAAGCAUCAGGUAACAUCAAAUCGUACCCCAAACCGACACAGGUGGUCAGGUAGAGAAUACCAAGGCGCUUGAGAGAACUCGGGUGAAGGAACUAGGCAAAAUGGUGCCGUAACUUCGGGAGAAGGCACGCUGAUAUGUAGGUGAAGUCCCUCGCGGAUGGAGCUGAAAUCAGUCGAAGAUACCAGCUGGCUGCAACUGUUUAUUAAAAACACAGCACUGUGCAAACACGAAAGUGGACGUAUACGGUGUGACGCCUGCCCGGUGCCGGAAGGUUAAUUGAUGGGGUCAGCGCAAGCGAAGCUCUUGAUCGAAGCCCCGGUAAACGGCGGCCGUAACUAUAACGGUCCUAAGGUAGCGAAAUUCCUUGUCGGGUAAGUUCCGACCUGCACGAAUGGCGUAAUGAUGGCCAGGCUGUCUCCACCCGAGACUCAGUGAAAUUGAACUCGCUGUGAAGAUGCAGUGUACCCGCGGCAAGACGGAAAGACCCCGUGAACCUUUACUAUAGCUUGACACUGAACAUUGAGCCUUGAUGUGUAGGAUAGGUGGGAGGCUUUGAAGUGUGGACGCCAGUCUGCAUGGAGCCGACCUUGAAAUACCACCCUUUAAUGUUUGAUGUUCUAACGUGGACCCGUGAUCCGGGUUGCGGACAGUGUCUGGUGGGUAGUUUGACUGGGGCGGUCUCCUCCUAAAGAGUAACGGAGGAGCACGAAGGUUGGCUAAUCCUGGUCGGACAUCAGGAGGUUAGUGCAAUGGCAUAAGCCAGCUUGACUGCGAGCGUGACGGCGCGAGCAGGUGCGAAAGCAGGUCAUAGUGAUCCGGUGGUUCUGAAUGGAAGGGCCAUCGCUCAACGGAUAAAAGGUACUCCGGGGAUAACAGGCUGAUACCGCCCAAGAGUUCAUAUCGACGGCGGUGUUUGGCACCUCGAUGUCGGCUCAUCACAUCCUGGGGCUGAAGUAGGUCCCAAGGGUAUGGCUGUUCGCCAUUUAAAGUGGUACGCGAGCUGGGUUUAGAACGUCGUGAGACAGUUCGGUCCCUAUCUGCCGUGGGCGCUGGAGAACUGAGGGGGGCUGCUCCUAGUACGAGAGGACCGGAGUGGACGCAUCACUGGUGUUCGGGUUGUCAUGCCAAUGGCACUGCCCGGUAGCUAAAUGCGGAAGAGAUAAGUGCUGAAAGCAUCUAAGCACGAAACUUGCCCCGAGAUGAG
rnacentral:rRNA from 1 species